UACGAAGGGGGCGAGCGUUGUUCGGAAUUACUGGGCGUAAAGGGCGCGUAGGCGGCCGAUCAAGUCAGAUGUGAAAGUCCUGGGCUUAACCUGGGGACUGCAUUUGAUACUGAUUGGCUUGAAUGCAGGAGAGGAUAGCGGAAUUCCCAGUGUAGAGGUGAAAUUCGUAGAUAUUGGGAAGAACACCGGUGGCGAAGGCGGCUAUCUGGACUGUGAUUGACGCUGAGGCGCGAAAGCCAGGGGAGCAAACGGG
rnacentral:rRNA from 1 species